AGCUUUCUGUGUCGGUGCUGAGAUUUCGUCACAUACCAGACCACAAGGGCUGAUGAAACUUCCCAGAUAAGUGAAUCG
rnacentral:pre_miRNA from 1 species